GACGAACGCUGGCGGCGUGCUUAACACAUGCAAGUCGAACGGAAAGGCCCUGCUUUUGUUGGGUGCUCGAGUGGCGAACGGGUGAGUAACACGUGAGUAACCUGCCCUUGACUUUGGGAUAACUUCAGGAAACUGGGGCUAAUACCGGGUAUGAGCUCCUGCUGCAUGUGGGGGGUUGGAAAGUUUCGGCGGUUGGGGAUGGACUCGCGGCUUAUCAGCUUGUUGGUGGGGUAGGGGCUUACCAAGGCUUUGACGGGUAGCCGGCCUGAGAGGGUGACCGGCCACAUUGGGACUGAGAUACGGCCCAGACUCCUACGGGAGGCAGCAGUGGGGAAUCUUGCACAAUGGGCGGAAGCCUGAUGCAGCAACGCCGCGUGCGGGAUGACGGCCUUCGGGUUGUAAACCGCUUUCGCCUGUGACGAAGCGUGAGUGACGGUAAUGGGUAAAGAAGCAACGGCUAACUACGUG
rnacentral:rRNA from 1 species